UCCUUGGUGGUCUGGUAGUUAGGACUCAGCGCUUUCACUGCUGUGGCCUGGGUUCAGUCCCUUGUCUGGGAA
rnacentral:tRNA from 1 species